rnacentral:rRNA from 1 species
CGGGUAGCUGGUCUGAGAGGAUGGUCAGCCACACUGGGACUGAGACACUGCCCAGACUCCUACGGGAGGCUGCAGUCGAGGAUCAUUGUCAAUGCGCGAAAGCGUGAACAUGCGGCGCUGCGUGGGGGAUGAAUGCUUUCGGGUUGUAAACCCCUGUCAUCUGGGAACAAUCGUUUGGAUACUAAUAUCAUCCAAGCUUGAUGGUACCAGAAGAGGAAGCCACGGCUAACUCUGUGCCAGCAGCCGCGGUAAUACAGAGGUGGCAAGCGUUGUUCGGAUUUACUGGGCGUAAAGGGUGCGUAGGUGGUUCCGUAUGUCGGGCGUGAAAGCCCACGGCUCAACCGUGGAACGGCGCUUGAAACUGCGGAUCUAGAGUGCAGGAAGGGAGAGCGGAAUUCUUGGUGUAGCGGUGAAAUGCGUUGAUAUCAAGAAGAACACCGGUGGCGAAGGCGGCUCUCUGGAAUGUUACUGACACUGAGGCACGAAAGCUGGGGGAGCAAACAGGAUUAGAUACCCUGGUAGUCCCAGCCGUAAACUGUGUGCACUUGGUGUGGGGGGUAUUGACCCCCCCCGUGCCGGAGCUAACGCGUUAAGUGCACCGCCUGGGGAGUACGACCGCAAGGUUAAAACUCAAAGAAAUUGACGGGGGCCCGCACAAGCGGAGGAGCAUGUGGCUUAAUUCGAUGCAACGCGAAGAACCUUACCAGGGCUUGACAUGUAACUGCACGCCCCGUGAAAGCGGGGUUCCUUCGAGGGUGUUACACAGGUGCUGCAUGGCUGUCGUCAGUUCGUGCUGUGAGGUGUUGGGUUAAGUCCCGCAACGAACGCAACCCCUAUGUUUAGUUGCCACCAUCGGUGAUGAGCCGGUGAGCACUCUAGACAGACUGCCCGUACAAGCGGGAGGAAGGUGGGGACGACGUCAAGUCAGUAUGGCCCUUACGCCCUGGGCUGCACACGUGCUACAAUGGUCGGUACAGAGGGAUGCAAUGCCGCGAGGUGGAGCAAAUCCCCAAAGCUGGCCCCAGUUCGGAUUGGAGACUGCAACUCGACUCCAUGAAGUUGGAUUCGCUAGUAACGGCGUAUCAGCUACGGCGCCGUGAAUACGUUCCCGGGCCUUGUACACACCGCCCGUCACAUCAUGAAAGCCGUCUGCACCCGAAGUCACUGUACCAACCCUCACGGGGGGGAGGUGCCGAAGGUGUGGGUGGUGAUUGGGAUGAAGUCGUAACAAGGUA